UACAGAGGGUGCAAGCGUUGCUCGGAAUUAUUGGGCGUAAAGGGUAGGUAGGUGGUCUCGUUUGUCGGGGGUGAAAGCCCGGGGCUUAACUCCGGAAGUGCCUUCGAAACGGCGAGACUAGAGUCUUGGAGAGGAUUGCGGAAUUCCCGGUGUAGCGGUGAAAUGCGUAGAGAUCGGGAGGAAUACCUGUGGCGAAGGCGGCCAGCUGGGCCAGAUCCGACACUGAGGCGCGAAAGCGUGGGGAGCAAACAGG
rnacentral:rRNA from 1 species